AUGUACCAUGACUCGUACAGCUGCGGCUCCUCCGCGCCGUCCGCACCCACCUGACGAGCGCUCGCUACGUUUUGUUAGCG
rnacentral:sRNA from 1 species